rnacentral:lncRNA from 1 species
ACCCGAGCGGAAUGCGAUGUGUCUGGAAACUCGGGAUCGUAAAUGGAUUCGAGUACAAUUCUGAUCGCCUCUUUCAUGAUCUUUUCUAUAGGUAGAACUAUUGUGAGCAGUCUAAACUUCAACCCUUAUUUCUUUCUUCAUAUUGUAAAAGGGAGCAAAGCCCAUUUUUUGUUCCCUUUAUUAAUAAUCAAGGGCCCUCCUGCCAUUAUUCAGUGACUCAUAGGGCUUCCCUCAGCUUAGUCUUUUUGGUUCUUGAGGAAUUCUGUAUAUAUAUGGCAGCGAUGCCUGUGCUCUUGUAAUAGAUUGAGCCAGUACCUAAGAACCUG